ensembl:ncRNA lncRNA:CR44929 long non-coding RNA:CR44929
UUUUUCACUGACCCGCGGCUUUCGGUCUACGUUCAUUCAGUUGGCCAAUGAAAUUGGCUUAUGUAAAAUCACUGCCAUUAACGUAGUGACAUAAAAAUCAACGGAAGAUAAGAGUGGUCGUAUGGUCAUGGGUCCAGCGUUAAGGUCUCCAAUUAACACUGAUUAAAACGGAUGACUCGGGACCUACCUUAAGAAAUUUUCAAUGUCUUUCCUAAUUACUGCUACUUACUGUUUUUAGAGUUUAUAUAAGUUUAUUUAAUACUGAACUCAAUUGUCCUUUUGAAGCUCGCAAUAAUAAGAAAUUUUAGUAAACGGAUAAGUACUAAAAAUAAAGUACGGGUAUUUACUUAGAUAUUUAUACAUAUAUUUUAAUACAUUUUAACGAAAACGUUCGUUUCUGUUAAGCAUAAGUAAUACAUAUUGAAUUCGACGUAUUGCAUUUUUUAGAAAACAGUUUUUACUGCAAAGUCGUCAUACGAACUAAGAGAUCCAAGGAAUGAUCUUAGAUUAAUGAAAAAAUUGAAAAUUGGAAAAACUUUAUUGCAAAGGAGUCUGAAAUCAUAGAAAGUCUAAUGUCAUCCAUGUAAAUAUUGUUUAAUUUUUUUAAUUCGUUUAAAAAUUUAAGUACAAUAUAUGAAAAUUGCUAUGGAAUGAGAUGUAUAUGAGUAUUUGUUUAUUUGUUUAUUAAAGUAU